GAUCGGACCCCGGACGUGAAGUCGACGAUGGUCGGUGGGCUGGUUUUGGUAAGCAGAACGGGCGAUUCGGGAUGAACCGGAAGCGGGGAGAAAGGGCCCGAGAUUGCGUCGACGCGGAUCCCGAAAAGGGCGUCGAUCCGUCGCGACAGCGGGACGGUGGUCAUGGAAGUCGAAAUCCGCUAAGAAGCGUGUAAAAACGUACCCGCCCAACGGAUCGGCCCCGAAAAUUGAUGGCGCUCGAACGCAACCCUCGAACCCCGCCGACGGAGGCUAGGGGAGGCCCCGUCGAGUAGGCGGACGCGCGGGUCGCUUCGACGCUCCCGCGCGAGCGGGGGCGGAGCGGCCCGUGGUGCAGAUCUUGGUGGUAGUAGCGAUCACCCAGGCGAGAACCCUGAGGGCCGAAGUGGAGAAGGGUUUCUCGAGAACGGCACUCGCUCGAGAGUUAGUCGAUCCUAAGCUGCCGGCGGCAGCCACGAAACGGUCGAUCGGGCGCGAGCCCGGCAGCCACGACCGGGCAGCGAAAGGGAAUUGGGAACCUCCGUUCCCAAACCCGGAACCGGAACGAGGGCGGCGACGCGAACGAAACGGCCGCGG
rnacentral:rRNA from 1 species